rfam:Schistosoma mansoni strain Puerto Rico chromosome 1, complete genome
ACCAGCUGAAGAGUUCUAAAUAGAACGAAAGACGUAUCUUGGAU